rnacentral:rRNA from 1 species
AAAAGGGGUAUUGCCCUUAGUUACGGCGAGUGAAGCGGCAACAGCUCAAAUUUGAAAGCUAGCCUUCGGGUUCGCAUUGUAAUUUGUAGAGGAUGCUUUGGGUAAAACGCCAGUCUAAGUUCCUUGGAACAGGACGUCAUAGAGGGUGAGAAUCCCGUAUGUGACUGGAAAUGUUAACCUAUGUAAAGCUCCUUCGACGAGUCGAGUUGUUUGGGAAUGCAGCUCUAAAUGGGAGGUAAAUUUCUUCUAAAGCUAAAUAUUGGCGAGAGACCGAUAGCGCACAAGUAGAGUGAUCGAAAGAUGAAAAGCACUUUGGAAAGAGAGUUAAAAAGCACGUGAAAUUGUUGAAAGGGAAGCGCUUGCAAUCAGACUUGUUUAAACUGUUCGGCCGGUCUUCUGACCGGUUUACUCAGUUUGGACAGGCCAGCAUCAGUUUCGGCGGCCGGAUAAGGCUCUGGGAAUGUGGCCUCCACUUCGGUGGAGGUGUUAUAGCCCAGUGUGUAAUACGGCCAGCCGGGACUGAGGUCCGCGCUUCGGCUAGGAUGCUGGCGUAAUGGUUGUAAGCGACCCGUCUUGAACCCCGGACCAAAAAAAACCCCAACCCAAACAAAAAACCAAACCGUAUUCUGUUGUUGAUAGGAAAUUUUUUAUUUUUAUUUAU